rnacentral:rRNA from 1 species
CCUACGGGAGGCAGCAGUGGGGAAUAUUGCACAAUGGGGGAAACCCUGAUGCAGCGACGCCGCGUGAGUGAAGAAGGAUUUCGGUUUGUAAAGCUCUAUUAUUAGGGAAGAAAAUGACGGUACCUGAGGAAUAAGCCCCGGCUAACUACGUGCCAGCAGCCGCGGUAAUACGUAGGGGGCAAGCGUUAUCCGGAUUUACUGGGUGUAAAGGGAGCGUAGGCGGGAUUGCAAGUCUGGAGUGAAAGGCUAGGGCUCAACCCUAGACCUGCUGUGGAAACUGUUAUGCUGGAGUGCAGGAGAGGUAGGUGGAAUUCCUAGUGUAGCGGUGAAAUGCGUAGAGAUUAAGAGGAACACCGAUAGCGAAGGCGGCUUACUGGAAUGUAACUGACGUUGAGGCGCGAAAGCGUGGGGAGCAAACAGGAUUAGAUACCCUUGUAGUC